rnacentral:rRNA from 1 species
CCUACGGGCGGCAGCAGUGGGGAAUAUUGCACAAUGGAGGAAACCCUGAUGCAGCGACGCCGCGUGAGUGAAGAAGGAUUUCGGUAUGUAAAGCUCUAUCAGCAGGGAAGAAAAUGACGGUACCUGACUAAGAAGCCGCGGCUAACUACGUGCCAGCAGCCGGGGUAAUACGUAGGGGGCAAGCGUUUUCCGGAUUUACUGGGUGUAAAGGGAGCGUAGGCGGCAAUGUAAGCCAGAAGUGAAAGCCCGCGGCUCAACUGCGGGACUGCUUUUGGAACUAGCUAGCUAGAUUGCAGGAACGGAUAGUGGAAUUCAUAGUGUAGCGGUGAAAUGCGUAGAUAUUAGGAGGAACACCAGUGGCGAAGGCGGCUUACUGGACUGUAAAUGACGCUGAGGCUCGAAAGCGUGGGGAGCAAACAGGAUUAGAUACCCUGGUAGUC